GCCAGCUGAUCCAAGCUCCCCCCACCAUUACCCAAGUGGCCGGCAUGCAGUGGAGAGUCCGAGGGCACCGAGGAUUGGAGAGAUGCUGUUCCGGUGGAAGCGAUACCAUCCACUUUGCCGAAUGGGGCUGGGGAGCCCUCAGAUUCCUAGAGUGAGAAGACAGAAGGUUAGACAGAAGCUAGGAACUGAAACUGCACUCAUCAUAGUCCCCUUGCCUUUCAGUCAAGGAGUCAAGGACUUUCCAUCAGAGUGACUUUUGACAACUUCACACCUAAACUAGGGAAUGGACAUGGUUCAGAAGAUAAAUGGAAGUCAAGUAUUAGCACUCAUCUGUCAUGUCUGCCCUUCUGAGCCACAGAAGCUAAAUGAAGCUAUAUUGCAGAGCUGGAAAAGUUCAGAAAAAGGCAAACCAAUAUGAUCAAGAGGCUGGAGCAUCUUUUCUACAAAGGAAGGCUACAACACUGGGAGUCUUUUAGUUUUUUUUAAAAAGGCAGUUAAGGGGAGAUGUGAUUGGGGGCAGAGCCACCAUUGAGCAAAUGGGUUCAAAGAACCCAGGCCACCAAGGAAAAGGGCCGCUGGAGCCCCCAUUGUGCAUGAUGUCAUGUGCAAAGGGGGCGUGGCCCAGUUGCCAGAAGGCCUACUCCAGUCUUCCCCCUCUCACUUCCAGGCAGCACUUGCUGCCUGACAGUGUUUAGUUCCCUUCCUUUCCCUCGAAGGCUCUUUUAGACAAAAAGAAAUAUGGACUAUAAAUAGCUCUCAGGACAGAGGUUUGGGGGUUUUUAUGAUUAUUUAUCUUUCACUCUGGGGAAAGUACAAAGUAUUCUUGCAGAGUGCCAAGGAAAGCUACCAUUCCAGUUACAGAGUGUGGAGUUUAGUUGCUGCAGCGAUCUAAGGAAUAUGCAUGGAGAUCACUGUAGAGUCUAAUACUAAACUAGUUUACUGGUGAAAUACAUUAGGAUAGGAAAGACCUAAUCCUAUCUACUAGCUACAUAAUGAAUCGGUAGGGAAAGAGAGAGAGAGAGAUGUUUCUAUCUUAUCUCUAGGAGGAAAGGAAGAGGACUGGCUCACUACAGCAAGUACCUGAGAAGUCAAAGAAGGGGCCAUAGAGUAGAGGCAAGCAGGGACAGGCAAGGAGACCUUCAUUGACUACUUCUACUCCCAAUGCCCCUAGUGGUCACUGUGGGAUAGUCAGUACAAAAGGUUGAUGUCACUGGAACUCCAUUUCCAACAAGAAGUAACUAUUGUGUUCUCUAAGCAGGUAUUCCCAGGAGGUAACUGGCAGUGGGAUAAGUGCCAGCACAGCUAGCAGGCAGCGAACUCUUACAUAAGAGCCAUGAGUCACUUGUCACUUCAAAAAAAACACCUGCCAAUUCUGGGUGAUAAAAUACAUUCUAAAGGCAGGGGUCUGAUCAGACAAAAAGAGCAGGCGACAGUGAUUUAUUUCUCUGUGUAUCAUAAUGAAUCCACGAUUUCUCUCUUUCUGACUCAUGGUGUUUCUG